rnacentral:lncRNA from 1 species
CUCUUGUAGGCACCCCUCCCCAGGGGCCCCGAGUCUGCCCUCAAUUAAUCUUUCCAACUUGUUUUUUCUCCCCCAAGAACUGGCUAUCACUGUUUUGGUUUUUGUUGGUUUUCUCUCUGAGCUUUCCUGUGCAUUGUUCCCUACAGCCAUUAGGACGGGACAGCAGAGGCAGCGAGCGUGAGGGGGUAGAAAGAACAGUAUCCAGGGUGUCAGAGCAGAUAGGUCCCAGGCCCUGCCCAUCUUUUACCAGACGUUGGCCUGGCUGCUCUCCCAGGACCUGGAGGAAGGAGCCGUGGUUGCCCCCCGAUCGUGCCUGGAAGGCAUCUGCUCUGAGUUCCGUAACCCGAAGAGAAACAGCCGGACACUGCUUGCAGGUAAAUCUCUGACCAGGGUGGACUCCCUGCCCACCCACCGACCUACCAGCCAAGCGGCCCCGAGUUACUCUCCUCGCCUCCUCGCCUGAAAGGGGGCCGGUGCCUGUGGACCUGCUUUGCGAACCGUGGUCUUAGCGAACAUGCACGUCUUGGGGGGGGGCCUGUUCACUGUUCCCAUCCGUGGGCUGUAUGUGCUGUGUGGGAUUCUCUCGUAGAAGGAAAGAGAGCGAAAACUCUGCUGUCAGCAGCCGCACCAUGAAGUCCCCGCCUGAACGUCACAGAUGCUCGGACAAGUUCACGCAGUAACCGCAAAAUUACUAAAACCCCCUCGUCCCUGACCAACGUCAGUAAUUGCUACCUCUUUAACCAGUGGAGACUCUACCCAACUCCAAUCCACUCCCCCCGCCCCCCCCCCCCCCGCCAUCUCCCAGGUACAAUUUACUGAGAUACCCAGCUACUGAGUGAUUCUGCUUCCUCACGGCAUCUGUCCACAACUGACGUGUCUCCCGUACCCCUCCUGACACUCCUCCACACGAGCCUGGAUCCUAUAUGUCCUUCCCAGUCCCCCUCACAGAGGUGCUGCCCGGUUCCUCU